GUGAAAGAACGAAAUUUCGUGUCUGGUAAAUUCAGAGCUGCCUGUUAGCUUCUUUAGGAGUGUCGAUGGCAUGUUGUCCCGUGGCACAAUCCCCAUUCCGUUCAGCGGAGUCUUCAGUCUAGGACUUUUAAGUAAAAAAGUUUGUCCUUCCAAAAAAGGACUAGUCAGUCGUUCAUAGGACCGAGGCAUAGACUUGGAGAGUCGCUUAAGUACGUGACCGGAAUUAAAGCCAACUUUCAGUUGAUGUUGCUGCUGUUGGUCUUUGCUUUCAUUGAUUUCUCCAGCACUCCGUCAUGGUUGGGAGCUCUGAAUCGUAAUGUUUUUCAGUCUCUAACACGUUUCCACCUCCC